rnacentral:rRNA from 1 species
ACGAGGUUUGGUAGCAAUAUCAAACUUAGUGGCGCACGGGUGCGUAACGCGUAUGCAACCUACCUUCAACUGGGGAAUAGCCCCUCGAAAGAGGGAUUAAUACCCCAUAGUAAUUAGAUAAGGCAUCUUAUUUAGUUUAAAGUUCCGGCGGUUGAAGAUGGGCAUGCGUGACAUUAGCUAGUUGGUGUGGUAAUGGCUCACCAAGGCUACGAUGUCUAGGGGUUCUGAGAGGAUGAUCCCCCACACUGGUACUGAGACACGGACCAGACUCCUACGGGAGGCAGCAGUAAGGAAUAUUGGUCAAUGGACGCAAGUCUGAACCAGCCAUGCCGCGUGAAGGAUGACGGCCCUAUGGGUUGUAAACUUCUUUUGUACGGGAAUAAACCCUUCUACGUGUAGAAGGCUGAAUGUACCGUAAGAAUAAGGAUCGGCUAACUCCGUGCCAGCAGCCGCGGUAAUACGGAGGAUCCAAGCGUUAUCCGGAUUCAUUGGGUUUAAAGGGUGCGUAGGCGGAUUUGUAAGUCAGUGGUGAAAGCCUGCAGCUCAACUGCAGAACUGCCAUUGAUACUGCAAGUCUUGAGUACACUUGACGUGGGCGGAAUGUGUCAUGUAGCGGUGAAAUGCUUAGAUAUGACACAGAACACCGAUUGCGAAGGCAGCUCACGAAAUUGCAACUGACGCUGAGGCACGACAGCGUGGGGAUCAAACAGGAUUAGAUACCCUGGUAGUCCACGCCGUAAACUAUGAAUACUCGAUGUUGGCGAUAUACUGUCAGCGUCUAAGCUAAAGCAUUAAGUAUUCCACCUGGG